GGGGAUUUAGCUCAGCAGUAGAGCGCUUGCCUAGCAAGCACAAGGCCCUGGGUUCGAUCCCCAGCUCCG
rfam:Rattus norvegicus chromosome 14, whole genome shotgun sequence.